GUCAGUACACUGAAGUCCAACCAAGUUUUUAAGGCUUACAGACUGCAUAUACAGUAACAGUACACUCCUGGGCUAGCUAGCUAAACACACACAAUAGGUCAAGCCCAGAUAGUUUAAAAUGGCAUUAAAAAGCACAAAUUACUGAAUGGCACAAAUUACUUGUAAGGAAAUUAGCAAGAAUUAAGCAAAUGCACUCCCUAAAAAGAACAUCAAAGAUAAAAUAAGGUUUUUGUCAGAAUAUGAGAAGUUUGAUUCAGAGUGGUUCAGCAGAGUUGUGCGAAGUGAUGAAUCACGUUAAAACAUGACUUGCAUGGUUAUUCAGUAGACCGGUACCUUUGAAGAUCUGGUGAGAAAUACAACAAGGAACACAUUUCUACCACAGUGAAGCAUGGAGGAAGAUGCUGGUACUGAAGCAUAUGACCCCAGUCGUGUGGAGAGAGUCUGAUUUUGGACACUGUCAAAGCAAACUCUGGGACCUUACUGGAAUACACAAUGUAAACAAACACAGAAGUUCAUAAGCAGGAAGAUGGACUUCAUGCCACAUAUUAAGACUAAUUUUCAGAACUUCUGUGGCCUGUUGAUGUAAUAGCUAAGUUGUUUAUCAAUGAGAUAUGAAUGUAUAAUGUAUAUCAAGUAAAGCUCAGACAUUACAGAAAUAGCUACAAAUCAGUCUGUACAGACUUAAUAAUUUUCUAAAGUUUCUCUGCACCAGCAAAUGUCAUUGUGCCAACAGCGACAAGAAAGACACAAAAGCUUGCACUUCUCAUUUUCUGCAGUAUUACCAAUGAGAGAAAGGAAAGAGGCCUUGAUGUAUUAAAGCAAUGAAAUGGACUGGUGAGGUAGCAGCUGAAUAAGUGACAUAACACUGUGCUUUUAAUCACAGAGAAAUAUUUUUGUAAGAAAUGUUAAAAAGAAAAGGAAAGUGUGAUUAUAAGUUUUAGAGGUGGGAGAAACCAUUUAUGUUACUGUGGUAGAACUGCAAUACAAAAUCAUAUUUUUUUGCAAAUGGAAUAUAGGCUGCUUUUACACAAAUGAUGCAGUUAAGAAGAAAGCUAAACUGAGGCAAAGAUUUAAGAAUAUUUUGUGUGAAAAUCUUGGUGUCCAGCAACUUUAAUCUUAAGUGCAGUGACUUCAAUAGUCAGUUUCCAUAGUUAUUGCUUUAAAAUGACUCCCUUCAUUCAAGAGUUGUUUUUUUUAAUAUAUAUAAUAUCUCAUAUGCAGUUUGAGCUUUUCAGAGUAGCAGUCAGAUAAUAUAUCAUCUCAUCACAAAAUGCAAUAAAAAAAGACAAAUGUAUUUAUUUUUAUCAAGCUAUCAACAAUCUGUACAGAUGAAAAUAUAUUCAAAAAAAGUGUUAUUUUACUUUG
ensembl:lncRNA